rnacentral:rRNA from 1 species
AGUGAACGCUGGCGGUAGGCCUAACACAUGCAAGUCGAACGGCAGCACAGUAAGAGCUUGCUCUUACGGGUGGCGAGUGGCGGACGGGUGAGGAAUACAUCGGAAUCUACUUUUUCGUGGGGGAUAACGUAGGGAAACUUACGCUAAUACCGCAUACGACCUACGGGUGAAAGCAGGGGAUCUUCGGACCUUGCGCGAUUGCAUGAGCCGAUGUCGGUUUAGCUAGUUGGCGGGGUAAAGGCCCACCAAGGCGACGAUCCGUAGCUGGUCUGAGAGGAUGAUCAGCCACACUGGAACUGAGACACGGUCCAGACUCCUACGGGAGGCAGCAGUGGGGAAUAUUGGACAAUGGGCGCAAGCCUGAUCCAGCCAUACCGCGUGGGUGAAGAAGGCCUUCGGGUUGUAAAGCCCUUUUGUUGGGAAAGAAAAGCAGCAGGUUAAUACCCCGCUGUUCUGACGGUACCCAAAGAAUAAGCACCGGCUAACUUCGUG